AGAGUUUGAUCCUGGCUCAGGACGUACGCUGGCGGCACGCCUAACACAUGCAAGUCGAACGAAGUAGCAAUACUUAGUGGCAGACGGGUGAGUAACAUGUAGGUAUCUGCCCUUUGGCCUGGAAUAACACGAGGAAACUUGUGCUAAUACCGGAUAAGUCUUUACGGAGAAAGCUUUAUGCACCAUUGGAUGAGCCUGCACUUGAUUAGUUUGUUGGUGGGGUAAUGGCCUACCAAGACUGUGAUCAAUAGCUGAUUUGAGAGGAUGAUCAGCCACAUUGGGACUGAGACACGGCCCAAACUCCUACGGGAGGCAGCAGUGGGGAAUCUUGCACAAUGGAGGAAACUCUGAUGCAGCGAUGCCGCGUGAGUGAAGAAGGCCCUUGGGUUGUAAAGCUCUUUCGUCGGGGAAGAAAAUGACUGUACCCGAAUAAGAAGGUCCGGCUAACUUCGUGCCAGCAGCCGCGGUAAU
rnacentral:rRNA from 1 species